UGGCCACGACUCCCCUCAAAGCCUGUGCUGCAAUGAUUAUGAUGCUGGUUCUCGGCAACUACUUACUUUUAGCUGAUGAGUGACACACCGCUGGAAUCAGCAUUUUUGUCACUAAUGUAUGCUGCCCUCUGUGAGGUCGGCAUAAAGUUGAUGACAGGUUCC